rnacentral:misc_RNA from 1 species
UUGAUUCAUUUUCGGAACGCCCGAUGUGGGCGCCGAGAAGGCUCAGAUUGUAAAAAAAAAAAGCCCGCGGGGGGCAUGCAAUGGGGUUUUGGGUUUGGUCCUCCGGCGGGCGCCUUGGGUCCGGGGCUGCGACGCUCCCGGGGCAGAUAUCCCGCCGAGGCAACGGUUUGGUAGCGUUCACACUGGGGUUUGGGAGUUGUAAACUCGGUAAUGAUCCCUCCGCUGGUUCACCAACGGAGA